rnacentral:rRNA from 1 species
UACAGAGGGGGCAAGCGUUAUUCGGAAUUAUUGGGCGUAAAGGGCGCGUAGGCGGCUUGGCAAGUGGAAGGUGAAAUCCCUCGGCUUAACCGAGGAACUGCCCUCCAAACUGCUUGGCUUGAGACCGGGAGAGGUGAGUGGAAUUCCCCAGUGUAGCGGUGAAAUGCGUAGAUAUUGGGAGGAACACCAGUGGCGAAGGCGGCUCACUGGACCGGUACUGACGCUGAUGCGCGAAAGCGUGGGGAGCAAACGGG